rnacentral:lncRNA from 1 species
ACUAAUUCAAUAGAAAGAGGGGAAAUCUUCAUUCUAUUAUUAGACGUUACAGUUCCGGGUCACGAUCUGAUUGAACCGGUUUUUCUUUUUCCAUUGAUCUGACGGAUGAUGAAUCCCCUUUUUUCUGAAAGAGGAAGGGAAUGGAUUGGAUUCAGCCUAAAUUCAUUCUUUUACAUUGAUGGGGAAACAAGGAUUUCGAGAGUCCCUGGCGCAGACUAGAGGGCUGAUACGUACUGUUGACGAUUAAGCAAACCUCUCCUUUUCAGUCGAGAUCUUCAAACCUCUCCCGC